AAUCAACGCUGGCGGCGUGCCUAACACAUGCAAGUCGAACGAGAAGGUGACUUCGGUCACUGGAUAGUGGCGUCCGGGUGAGUAACACGUAGGUAAUCUACCUUCGGGUGGGGAAUAACGUCUCGAAAGAGACGCUAAUACCGCAUAAUGCAGCGGCACCUAAUGGUGAUUAGUUGUUAAAGCGGGGGAGUCUUCGGACCUCGCGCCUGAAGAGGAGCCUGCGGCAGAUUAGCUAGUUGGUGAGGUAAUGGCUCACCAAGGCUUCGAUCUGUAGCUGGUCUGAGAGGACGGCCAGCCACACUGGCACUGACACACGGGCCAGACUCCUACGGGAGGCAGCAGUGGGGAAUUUUGGGCAAUGGGCGAAAGCCUGACCCAGCAACGCCGCGUGAAGGAGGAAAUCCUUCGGGAUGUAAACUUCGCAAGAACGGGAAGAAUAAGUAGGGGACAAUACCCCUAUGAUGACGGUACCGUUAGUAAGC
rnacentral:rRNA from 1 species